AUGGAGUGGUCCAGCUGGAGCCUCGCUCCCAGCAUCCUACGCGCGUCAUCACGUCAUAGAUGCGCACGUAGACCAAGCGCGGCCACGGCUGCUGCGCACGGCUGUGCAUGGCCUCCCAGCACAUGCGUCCUGUUGUGCGGCGCUGCGACGCGGCACUCACAGUGUCCAGCAGGUAGUGGGCGAACCGUGGUCUGUGGCAGGCCACCUGGUGCAUGUUUUUCCUGCAUCCACUGUCGUCGUUGCCAUUCCCAUCACGCACAGCUUGUCAGGAGGGUAGCCCUGCCAGGCCGGGCUCACCGUGAAGGCUCAGCAAAUUAGCUUCCUUCCAAGGUGCAAACAACUCCCAGAUUAUGUCUCUCAUCUGAAGAUAGCUCUGAUUAUUUGGAAUAUUGGCCAAACUAAAUAUAUUCCACCUUUUCAAAAACAUAGUGAAGAAUACAGGUACACUUCUUGCCAAAUAUGUGAAACUGUUUUUAGUGUAUAUUCAUAAGAUGAAUAAAUUUAUGUCUUAGGUCGUAACUUUGUGAAAAAAAAAUAACAAAACCAACCAUACUUUAAAUAUUCCUUUAAACAUUAUCUGCUACAUGUUAAAUCAUUUAUCAGUGUUGGCAGAUCUUUUGUGUUGUUUAGUUAAUCAUGGCCUUUGUUUUCAUUAUUCUGUUUUCUCAAGAAAGGAUGAUGUGAUUCCUAGACUCGCU
rnacentral:lncRNA from 9 species